CAAAAAAUUGAGUAAUUCAAACAAAAUUUUAAGUAAAGUGAAAUUGAAGCAAAGGGUGUUUAGAGCGCAAAAAGAGAUUGCAAAUUAGGCAAAAACAAAAUUGAGUUACAAAGGCGGUUUCUUAAAUAGAAGAUGGGCAUAGCGAUGGGCAUAAACGAUUCGAUCUUGACUGAAUAUAAUUUUCUUACUUGUUUUAAUAUGAAAUUGAAAUAAUUAAUGUACGGCAUCGUAAAAAAUAAUCUUUGUUGAGCUAUUUUUAGAAAACAAGAUUUUGCGUGUGCACGAGUUUGUAAAAAGUUAUUUUAUAUGAACUGAUUUUCAAUAGAAAUAAUGUAACGAAAUAUGUAAUCGUACCGUCAAAGGUAAACAAACCGUUAAAAAGUGCUGAAAUACAAAUUGAAGUAAAUAUAACAAAAACGAACGCAUUAGUAGAUAGUGGAAUGUAAACAAUAGCAAGCAUAUGCAUGUGCACAUAGCGGCAUUUAAUGUAAUUAAACAAUUUUGUUUAUUAAUUAAUACCUUUCUAUUUAUUUAGUUGGAAAAAGGCGUAGAAAUAUAGUUAAGAAGCUAAGCAGAGUCAUAAAUAAAUAAAAUAACGAAUAAAAGAGUGAAGUUACUCACUAAUAUUUAUUUAUUUAAUUAUAUACCAAAAGUUUAUGUUUGCGUCCUCAUCAAUUUCGGCUUCAAAUUUCCGAACAGAUGACUAAAUGUGAGCUGAACUGAAAUAAGAGAUCGAUUUUAUUCUAAGCAUUUUCGUUAAGCAAACCUAAGCACACGCAUACCCGUUUGCGCACACAACGUACACACAUGAAUGUAACGUACAUAUAAAUACGCAGCACACAUACACAAUAUUACACUCUUAUAAAUUGUCCCAUUGCCUAUAAACAAGAACUGCUAAACAACUACACAUGUAUUUUAUCAGGCUGGUGCCAGCACUUGCUAGUUAGCCGCACUUUGCCGCCAAAAACGUAAAGAGACGUACAACAACAAUCAUAUCUGUAGCAAAAUAAAAGAGCGUCAACGGUAACAGAAAGAAACAAAAAAACAACAA